UUUGUGAAAGACACAGUAACAUAUGCAAAUGAACUUGUGCAAGGCUUUAUUCUUAAGUUAAAAUUGACUUAGUAGUGUAAUGUUCCAUAGUAAAAAUUAUUCAGUGUCAAAAUGGGAGAAACUGUUACAGGCUAUGAUGCAGUGAGGGAGAAAGAUAAAAUAAAACAUGCCUGAAUUUAAAAAAAAAAAAUAGGGUAGAAAAAAAAUGGAGAGAAGGAGGGAGAGUUUCAUUGUUUUUAAACCCAGGCAUUUGAAAGCUGGAGGAUAUGAGGGUGGCUGGAAAACAAGAAAUGAGUAGGAGGAAAUGAAAGCAGAUGGCAACUUGGAGACAUAUGUCUUUGUGUGUUUGAUUUUUAAUCUAAUAAUCUUAACUUCUUUAGUUUCUAUAACUAAUUCUCUAAUUUUAUCAGCAUGACUUCAAAGUAUUCUUACCAAUAUAUCCUAUUAAAAGGGUGAAUCUGGCUGGGAAAAACGAAAUUUACUAGUAGUAAUCGAGCUUCAGUUUUGAAAGUGCUGACUAGCCAUUCCUUCAGCAGAGUGGUCAUACGAACUGCAAAUGUUCAGUGUCGCAGAGAAUGUGAAAGUGUGAUCAUCUCAAUCAAGUUAUGGUUUUGAAACUGUAGGGCAGAUUUAAUGUUUGGACUUCAGGACUGUGGGAAACCAGGCAUCAGCCAGCUGUUCUUUAAUCAAGGGGCUGGCCUGCAUCCUGAGCAGUUGCAGCACCUGGGGACUUUGAGUGUCAUUCAAACCUACCCUGGCUCUACCCACCAGGCUUGCCUAGAACCUGGCUUGAAUGGACCAGAGAUUCUGGCUCACAAAGCAUCUGUUGCAGCUACUCUGAGAUGAAACAGAAUUGAUGAUGUUCUUGCUAUGCAGUUUCCUUGGUCACUUUUUUGAGAAACUGAAGAAAAGUUCCUCUGCAUGGACAAGAAAGUUUUUUCAAGAGGUAUAGUGCUUCAGUUGUCUCUGCAAUGGGCUUGGUGAAGGAUGGUGGCAAACCGCCUAAAGAUGACUGGAUAUUUUGCCUCUCGAACAUAUGUCCCCAGAGCGCCCAAUGUUUAAUUUACAUCCCUGUUGGUCAGAACGUCUUCCACUGUGAUACCAGAGCUGCGUAAAUCACGCACAUCAGUGAUGCUCCUGGCUGACCUACAUGCCGUUCAGUGCUGAUGGCAGCAACAGAAAGUGGCCUGCCUCUUCACAGCAUGCCCUGCUGUUCUGCAGCUCCCAGAUACAACUGUUGAUUUAGCUGAGUGCGAGAGAGCCCACUUGUUCGUACGCACACCGUACAGAAGGAGCAUCUUGCCACAGUUUCCAGCCUGAGCAGUGGAGAAGAUGCUUGUGUUUGUGAAGGGGCAAAAGAAACAGUACGAUGUCUAUGUGCAGUACGAGGGGCAGUGGUUCUGGAGUGCAUCCCCCUGAAGCUCAGCCACCCUCUCUAGACGUCACGCUGGAAGGGAGACCAGGAAAAGGUUCCCGAUACUCAGGCACGUUGUGGGAGUUCCUGUGAGUUGAACCUUCCGUUCCCGUUGCUGUCAGUGCUACUGCAACUGCAGGACACGGGUCCUGUACCCACCGUCCUUCUCCUUCAUGUUGUGAGAACCGACGCCUUAGGCAGAGCUUCCAGAUGAAGAGAUUAUCUUUAAGAUUCUCGCUCACAACAAGUUUUAUUUGAUAGAUUCCCCAUCUUAGAGACUAAAAUUUCUUGCACUCGGUGAACUUUCGCUAAAUGUCUAGAGUCCUGAGGCAACCCCCUCUCCCUCUCCACAGCUGCCUGCCAGCCCCUGGGAGACUGGCCAGGGAUUCAGGGAGUCUGGGAAGCCCCAGCCUUCAGUGACACCGAUACCUGCCUUUGCUGUUGGUAUUAGGAUGGAGGCUGAGCUGUUCCAGUGUCUGAGCAGCUUCCUGCUGACUGGACGACCGGGAAGAAAAAAAGAUUUUAUCUGAUUCAAACUGAAACCAAAUUCUGAAAAAGAUGAAGUUUCACUUUAGCAGGAAACCCCCUUUCCUGGCUGUCCUCCGCUCUAACGGGAACCUUGGAUCCUCUCCUCUGAACUCAGGAUGUUUGUGCUUCUUGACUUUGGUAGUUUCAGUACACAAAAGAGUUUGACUAUAGUGAUUGAUGUUAAUGGGAAGUGCAGAAGGGAAUUAUCUGCAUUAAAUUACUAAUGUGUCUCCUAACACUGUUUUUCUCUAAAUCGCUGGGAAAGUCAGACUAGAUUUUAACAGAUGGUGUUAUAUAGUUCCAGAAACAAAUAGUCUGACUACUGUGGUUGGAAGGGAAUUUAUUCUGUCAAAAGCCUAGAUAGAUUUUUAAGUCCACAAAAUACAUAUAUGGCAAUUUUACAGAUUUAUACAGUGUGUAGGCUAGAAGCAAAGAUUAGGUCUUUCACUCUCACAUCACAUGUAACACAGGCAAUAAACAUUCACCUGGUUUCUCCUGUCUUAAGCCUCUUCUUACAUGACAGCAGAUUCUACCACAUUACCAGGUAGCUCUUCAGGUCUGUCUUCUCCCUCACCAAACUUUCAGGUGGUCUUGUUUAUUAUACACCGUGUGUAUUUUAAAUGUCACCAUAGAGAAUGCAGUAUAAUAUUAGCUAGUGCAAGUUUCAAGGAAACAAUUCACUCAUUCUUCCCAGCACUGCUAAUGAGGGUAUUAAAGGAGUUUAUCUUCCACCUCCAAACUUCAGACUGGCUGUCAGCUGUUUUACUGUGCUUAGUUGGGUUUGAGAAAGUAAUUCAGUUAAAUUUUUGUAACUGUAGCUUACAAGUCCGUUCUGUUGUGCCUAUUAAAUGAGUGAUGAAGGGGUGUCUGUAGUAUACUUUCCCAUUAACAUUUAACGCACCUAAAUUUGAGAACAAAAUUGGGAAGCUGGUAUGAAUAAAAUUUGUUAUGUAGCUUUUAACUGCCUGGAUGCUACUAAUUCUCAUUCACUUGGACUUUUGUGCCCUAAGUCCUAGGAUCUUUGCACAGGAAAAUCGAGAGGAGAGUUGUCCCCCCAGUGCCCUCCCUGCACCACGCAGAAGGCUCCAGACAGGGUUUUAUCCAGGGACGCUUCUUAAGCCCACUGUCUACUGUGGCCCAUGCCCAUGGCUCCCUGUGCCAGCACUCCAGCUCAGCAUUUUCGACUUUGUCACCAUGUGAAUGAAAAUGAAGGACUCUUGCCCCCAGGAUGCCUGUUAGGCUCCCAGCAAAGAUGCUGAUCUGUGACACAUAAGUACGAUAUACUGCACAGAUUAUGAAAAGAGGUGGCCUCCUUCAGCUUGUGAUAAAUCCUGGCUGGGAAUGCUGCAUAACCUCAAAACAGAAACACGAAAAAUGGGAAAAGGCAAGCAACCCUCCACGCUGUACAGCUGAAGGGUGGUUGUGGGCUGAGCAGAACAGCAGCGUUGAAAACACGUGCAAGUCUGAGGGGCACCUCCAGGUUUUUCCCUAGUAAUACAAGAUCUGCUCUGGUCAAUACUGUUUUCUCUGGUCUGAAUAAUACGACAGUGUUUCCAGUAGCAAUUGGUCCUAUUCAGUCAGGGAAGAAGUGAAAUGAGGAGAUGGACGGAGUUCCCUGCUGGGUUCA